rnacentral:rRNA from 1 species
GAUGAACGCUGGCGGCGUGCUUAACACAUGCAAGUCGAACGGAAAGGCUCCUGCUUGCAGGGGUAUUCGAGUGGCGAACGGGUGAGUAACACGUGGGUGAUCUGCCCUGCACUUCGGGAUAAGCCUGGGAAACUGGGUCUAAUACCGGAUAGGACCACAUUUUGGAUGGUGUGGUGGAAAGUUUUUCGGUGUGGGAUGAGCUCGCGGCCUAUCAGCUUGUUGGUGGGUAAUGGCCUACCAAGGCGUCGACGGGUAGCCGGCCUGAGAGGGUGUACGGCCACAUUGGGACUGAGAUACGGCCCAGACUCCUACGGGAGGCAGCAGUGGGGAAUAUUGCACAAUGGGCGCAAGCCUGAUGCAGCGACGCCGCGUGGGGGAUGACGGCCUUCGGGUUGUAAACUCCUUUCGCUAGGGACGAAGCGCAAGUGACGGUACCUGGAGAAGAAGCACCGGCUAACUACGUG